rnacentral:rRNA from 1 species
UACGUAGGGUGCAAGCGUUGUCCGGAAUUAUUGGGCGUAAAGAGCUCGUAGGUGGCCUGUCGCGUCGGCUGUGAAAACUCGGGGCUCAACUCCGAGCUUGCAGUCGAUACGGGCAGGCUAGAGUUCGGCAGGGGAGACUGGAAUUCCUGGUGUAGCGGUGAAAUGCGCAGAUAUCAGGAGGAACACCGGUGGCGAAGGCGGGUCUCUGGGCCGAUACUGACGCUGAGGAGCGAAAGCGUGGGGAGCGAACAGG